rnacentral:tRNA from 1 species
GGUCUUAUAUUCAUGUUGAAAUGAUUUUAAAUUGCAAAUUUAAAGGUGCUAUAGUAAGCUAAGGCUU